rnacentral:rRNA from 1 species
AUGCUGCUGAACCCGGCCUCGGAGGCGCUGGUGCUCGACAGCAUCCGGCAGCACCUCAUGGAGGACACGGCGGCCGCGGCGGCGCCGGUGGCGGAGGCGAGGCGGCAGCGGCCGGCCUACUGCCGCAGCGCCAGCUUCGGGAGCCUGGUGGCGGACCAGUGGAGCGAGUCGCUCCCGUUCCGCGCCGACGACUCCGACGACAUGGUCGUCUACGGCGCCCUCCGCGACGCCUUCUCCUGCGGCUGGCUCCCCGACGGCUCCUUUGCCGCCGUCAAGCCGGAGCCCCUCCUGCCUUCCCCGGACUCUGCCUACGCGUGCGACGGCCCGUCCUGCUUCGGUUUCCUCGAGCCGGAGACGCCCCCCGCCACGUCCCCGGGCGAGGGCGAGGAGGAGGGCGCGGCGUUCAUGGGCGAGGCGGCCGCCGCGGUGGCGAGGGGCAAACACUACCGCGGGGUGCGGCAGCGGCCGUGGGGCAAGUUCGCGGCGGAGAUCCGGGACCCGGCCAAGAACGGCGCGCGCGUGUGGCUCGGCACCUACGACACCGCCGAGGACGCCGCCGUGGCCUACGACCGCGCCGCGUACCGCAUGCGCGGCUCCCGCGCGCUCCUCAACUUCCCGCUCCGCAUCGGCUCCGAGAUCGCCGCCGCGCACGCCGCGGCCGCGGCCGCCGGGGACAAGCGGCCGUCACCCGAGCCCGCGACCUCGGACUCGUCAUCCUCGUCCUCCUCCUCCGGGUCCCCGAAAAGGAGGAAGAGGGGCGAGGCCGCGGCCGCGUCGAUGGCCAUGGCGCUGGUGCCGCCGCCCUCGCAGCUGAGCCGGCCAGCCCACGCGUGGUACCCCGCCGCGCCGGUGGAGCAGGUGGCCAUGGCGCCGCGCGCGCAGCAGCUGGUCAGCUAG